rnacentral:rRNA from 1 species
AUGGUGAAGUGGGUUGACAUCUGCUUGCCCAAGGACCUUGGUGGGUUGGGCAUUAUUGCCUCCCAUUGCAUUAAUGUUUCCCUCAUGCUUAGGUGGGUAUGUCAGAUCAUCCAAGGGGGGGGCCUCUGGUUGCAACUUAUUCAGGCAAAGUACCUUCGAGGCUUGCUGCUACUUGCGUGUGCUCGACCGGAGGGCUCCCAGUUUUGGAAGCCGAUACAAAUGAUCAAACAAGAUAUUUGA